rnacentral:rRNA from 1 species
GGUCAAGUGAAUAAGGGCAUACGGUGGAUGCCUUGGCAGAGACAGGCGAUGAAGGACGUGGAUACCUGCGAAAAGCCUCGGGGAGCUGGUAAGCAAGCUUUGAUCCGGGGAUAUCCGAAUGGGGCAACCCAGCCAGAGUGAUCUGGUUAUUGCACACUGAAUACAUAGGUGUGUAAAGCGAACGCGGUGAACUGAAACAUCUCAGUAGCUGCAGGAAAAGAAAUCAACCGAGAUUCCCGUAGUAGCGGCGAGCGAACCGGGAGCAGCCUUCAUGAUGUAGCGUAAGACUUAGGAGAACGACCUGGGAAGGUUGGCCGUAGUGGGUGAUAGCCCCGUAUCCGAAAAGACUUUCGUGGAACUAGGCAUGAGCAAAGUAGGGCGGGACACGUGGAAUCCUGUCUGAAGAUGGGGGGACCAUCCUCCAAGGCUAAAUACUCGUCUCUGACCGAUAGUGAACCAGUACCGUGAGGGAAAGGCGAAAAGAACCGCGGAGAGCGGAGUGAAAUAGAUCCUGAAACCGUAUGCCUACAAGCAGUGGGAGCCCGUUUUACGGGUGACUGCGUACCUUUUGUAUCAUGGGUCAGCGACUUACUUUCUGUGGCGAGCUUAACCGAAGAGGGGAGGCGUAGGGAAACCGAGUCUGAAUAGGGCGACAGUCGCAGGGAGUAGACCCGAAACCGGACGAUCUAUCCAUGGUCAGGAUGAAGGUGGGGUAAAACCUACUGGAGGUCCCAACCCACGCCCGUUGAAAAGGUCGGGGAUGAACUGUGGAUAGGAGUGAAAGGCUAAACAAGUCCGGAGAUACCUUGGUUCUCCCCGAAAGCUAUUGAGGUANCGCGUCGCGUAUUACUGCCGGGGGUAGAGCACUGUUACGGCUAGGGGGCUGUCACGGCUUACCAACCCGUUGCAAACUCCGAAUACCGGCAAGUAGAGCGCGGCAGACAGACGGCGGGUGCGUCCGUAAGAGGCGUCUAACGAUGAAAACCCAGACCGCCAGCUAAGGUCCCCAAAUAUGGCUCAGUGGGAAACGAUGUGGGAAGGCCCAGACAGCUAGGAGGUUGGCUUAGAAGCAGCCAUCCUUUAAAGAAAGCGUAAUAAAGUCCUAGCUCACUAGUCGAGUCGGCCCGCGCGGAAGAUUUAACGGGGCUCAAGCCAUAUACCGAAGCUGCGGGUGUGUCCUUAGGGACACGCGGUAGGGGAGCGUUCGGUAAGCCGAUGAAGGUGUGUUGGAAAGCAUGCUGGAGGUAUCCGAAGUGCGAAUGCUGACAUGAGUAGCGAUAAAGGGUGUGAAAACCACCCUCGCCGUAAGCCCAAGGGUUCCUGCGUCAAGUCAAUCUGCGCAGGGUGAGUCGGCCCCUAAGGCGAGGCCGAGAGGCGUAGCUGAUGGGAAAUCGGUUAAUAUUCCGAUACUGUUACAAGAUGCGAUGGAGUGACGGAGAAAGGUAGCUCAGCCGGGUGUUGGAUGUCCUGGUUUAAGCGUGUAGGGAGUCUUCUCAGGCAAAUCCGGGAAGGCCAUUCCGAGGUGUGAUGACGAUCCUCUACGGAGGAGAAGUGAGUGAACCUACGCUUCCAGGAAAAGCUUCUAAGCUCUAGUCUUGUGAUGACCGUACCCCAAACCGACACAGGUGGGCAGGAAGAAUAUUCCAAGGCGCUUGAGAGACCUCGGGUGAAGAACUCGGCAAAUUGACACCGUAACUUCGGAAGAAGGUGUGCCCUGAUAGGUUGUACUCCCUUGCGGAGGAAGGCCGAAGGGGUCGCAGAGAAUCGGUGGCUGCAACUGUUUAA